rnacentral:snoRNA from 2 species
GGUGGGACACAGGCUCGUCCCCCUGGGCCUCUCAUAGUGUCCCAUGCCACAGCAAACCGUGGCCCCGAACCAUUGCCCGUAGGCUGCAGGCACUGAAGCGGGUCGCACAGUG